UCGAAGGUUGCGGUCAGAUUCAUGCACAACACAUGCAGUCGUAAUCGUCAUACCUCAGUGGUCGUAACUGUGAUCGGGAUUACAUUUUUAACUGAUGUACGUUUUAAUAAUAAGCGAUCGUAGUGAUUUGUCAAAUUAGCUGCUUGGUAGUUAUCAUCACAUCAAGCCAAGCACAGCUAACGAGCUAGUUAGCAUAAAUCCAUAGAUUUUUUUUGACAAUGUCAACACCAGAGCCAUUGCCCGUACCACGGGGCUCAGUAUCACCGGCAGCGGGUCAAAUGUUUGGGAGCUGCUGGAGUUGUCGGAUUCUUUCAGGUGGAGGUCUGCUGUUAGGAGCUGGAUAUGUCUUCCUAGCCGCCCGAAAAGUAAUGCGCCAAGGUGGGACAACCUCUAUGGGAACUGUCGCACAAGUCGCGUUUGCAGCAAGUUUGGCUGCUUGGGGAGUCGUGGUCAUCGCUGACCCUGUGGGGAAAUCACACAGGAAGGCGUGAAGAUGCUCUGACAGAUGGAAUUAUUUGAAGCUGCUGAAGUAUAUGCCAUGGUCAUAUCCAAGAUCACUUUGGUAGAUAGUGAUCUUGGCAUAAUGGAUGAGAACAUGCCAAAGACUAUUAUCAUCUGUCAGUGUGACUUGUCUAUAAUACAUGAAAUAAAUUGAGAACAUGUGCACUUGGAACUACCUUGUGCAAGUAA